CGUGGAGUGUUGGGGUUGAUGAAACACGCUUUUGCUCAGCGAGGAUUUCCAAGCAUGCCACGUCUCUGGCCAUCCAGGAUUAAGGCAGAGCCUGGAGCAUCAGCAGAGUCAUUUUAGGGGGGUGUUGAAGUUAUGACCUGGCUGUGCAUUGAUGCAAACCCCUUCCCACGGAGCACAGGAGCUGCUCCCAGGCCCAGGAAGGGGUGCUCCCAGGUGGUUGGAGCAUCCCUGCGGAGAUGCCACUACGGCUGCCCCUUACACCACCCCUUCCCGAGGGCCGGGAUGCUCUCCCACCCUCCCCACUGCAUCCCCAUCCCGGGGGUGCAUCGCUGCAAGCACCAAGCCCCCUGCAAGGAUGCUGUACCUGGGGUCAGCGGCGUGGUCCAGCCGGGGGGUUGUUGCCAAGCAACCCGUCUCCCCCUGCCGGGUUUCCAUGGCGAUGGCGAUGCUGCUGAGGCGGGCUGGGAGCCAGGCAGAUGCUGAAUUUCACAAAGCUGCACCCCUGCCCCAAAGCUCGGCGCGAGCCUACAGGCACAGGGCUGCAAGUGGUGCAGGAGCUCCUCCAGCCGAAAGUGGGACAGGAGCUGGGUGCUCCCUGGGGAGGCAGCGGGUGGGUGCACGUGGGUGAGUGAGGGGACCUCGGCAGCCCAUCAGACCCGUGGGAGAAAGCCAGCUUGAAAGUUCAGAGCUUCACUGAACGUUGUUGGUGCCUUUGAACGUGGAGAAGGGGAGCACUCGGGAUCCCAUCGCUGGUGGCUCCGAUGGAGCCGGGGACUGCAGCGAGCUCCUUGCCGAGGAGCGGACAGCCACGAAGCCGUGCCAGGUGGGACCAGGACUGCCAAAAUAGACCAGGGAGUAUUUUUAGCACGUCGGAAAGAGCAGCACGCCGGCUCGCUGGAUGCAGGGCACACAGGAGCAGAUGGCGUACGAGCUUCUCCCGCUGCAGUCCCUGCACAAACACCUCCGUCCUGAGCCACCUCGAGGUGACUGCAGUCACUGCUCCCCUUCCUCCUCCUCCUCCUCGCUGAUGUCCUCAGCUUUGGGGACCUCUUGCAGGGACGGACGCAGUGUGAGGACAAUGAUGCUGUAUUUAUUCAUCAGCACUUGGUCUCGUAUGUGUCCCCAAAGAUGCUGGCAAUUAGGAACAUCACCUCCAUUAGUCCCCCUGGCGUGCAAGUGGUGGUGGCUUUCUCCUCUGUGCUGCACCCAAAAAAAAAAACCCUCAUUCGCUCCUCAAAGCCCCACGGGAAAAGGGAACCCUUCGGGGUGGCCGAAUGGGCCGGCCACCUCUGCUCAGCUCCUCUCGGCACUCAUUAAGCCAUCCCCACUGUGUUUAAUUAUACGUAUUGCGCUCUCUUCUCCUACGCCGCGCGACUUGCCGGGUGCUCCUGGAGUUGAUUUGAAACACAAAAUUACUGGUGCGGCUUUCAUAUGGCGAGAGGCACUGCUGUGACCUGCGGGUAAUUACCGAGAUGAUGCGCGGCCAGCGGCCCCACAGUAAUUAGCUGCAGAGCAAGGAGUGUUCCCAGCAGCUCUGUGCGUUUUUGCUCUUGGGUUUGUGCGUGGAGCCUGGGUGCAAGCAUGGUGCAGGAGGGCAGGGAGCCGUGGAGCUGCUGAUCUCUGCGGGGAACUACAGAGAGAAGGAGCAAAAUCAUGAAUGAAACGGGGAAUUGCACCCAGUGACCGCAUUUGCUGGGGUCUUCCGGGCUCUCCAUCUCAGACACUGAUGUCUCCAGGGUUUUGGGGACAAAGGUCCUACCUGGAGCUACUGGGUGGGAGACCUGCACCUGGGAGGGGGACUCAAGUGUCAGCAGUGGCAUGGCCGAAGUGUUCCCAGCUAUUCCUCCCCAUGCAUCAAAUAUUCGAUAUAAUAUUUAGAUUUAAUUAAUUCACAUAAUUUCAGCUUUUAUGCAGCAGUAAAACAUUCUUUUUCAGAUAGCAUAAAGGUUGAGACCGCAUCCAUCAAAAAUUA